rnacentral:rRNA from 1 species
UACGUAGGGCGCAAGCGUUGUCCGGCAUUAUUGGGCGUAAAGAGCUCGUAGGCGGUUUGUCGCGUCUGCUGUGAAAACCCAGGGCUCAACCCUGGGCCUGCAUUCGAUACGGGCAGACUAGAGUAUGGCAGGGGAGACUGGAAUUCCUGGUGUAGCGGUGAAAUGCGCAGAUAUCAGGAGGAACACCGGUGGCGAAGGCGGUUCUCUGGACAUGUCCUGACGCUGAGGAGCGAAAGUGUGGGGAGCGAACAGG